GACGAACGCUGGCGGCGUGCCUAAUACAUGCAAGUAGAACGCACAGUUUAUACCGUAGCUUGCUACACCAUAGACUGUGAGUUGCGAACGGGUGAGUAACGCGUAGGUAACCUGCCUGGUAGCGGGGGAUAACUAUUGGAAACGAUAGCUAAUACCGCAUAAUAUUGAUUAUUGCAUGAUAAUUGAUUGAAAGAUGCUAUUGCAUCACUACCAGAUGGACCUGCGUUGUAUUAGCUAGUAGGUGAGGUAACGGCUCACCUAGGCGACGAUACAUAGCCGACCUGAGAGGGUGAUCGGCCACACUGGGACUGAGACACGGCCCAGACUCCUACGGGAGGCAGCAGGAGGGAAUCUUCGGCAAUGGACGAAAGUCUGACCGAGCAACGCCGCGUGAGUGAAGAAGGGUUUCGGAUCGUAAAGCUCUGUUGUAAGAGAAGAACGGGUGUGAGAGUGGAAAGUUCACACUGUGACGGUAUCUUACCAGAAAGGGACGGCUAACUACGUG
rnacentral:rRNA from 1 species